GUCGAACGAUGAACCAGGAGCUUGCUCUCGGGGAUUAGUGGCGAACGGGUGAGUAACACGUGAGUAACCUGCCCUUGACUCUGGGAUAACCUCCGGAAACGGAAGCUAAUACCGGAUACGAACUGCGAAGGCAUCUUCAGCAGUUGGAAAGAACUUCGGUCAAGGAUGGACUCGCGGCCUAUCAGGUAGUUGGUGAGGUAACGGCUCACCAAGCCUACGACGGGUAGCCGGCCUGAGAGGGUGACCGGCCACACUGGGACUGAGACACGGCCCAGACUCCUACGGGAGGCAGCAGUGGGGAAUAUUGCACAAUGGGCGCAAGCCUGAUGCAGCAACGCCGCGUGAGGGAUGACGGCCUUCGGGUUGUAAACCUCUUUUAGUAGGGAAGAAGCGAAAGUGACGGUACCUGCAGAAAAAGCACCGGCUAACUACGUGCCAGCAGCCGCGGUAAUACGUAGGGUGCGAGCGUUGUCCGGAAUUAUUGGGCGUAAAGAGCUCGUAGGCGGUCUGUCGCGUCUGCUGUGAAAACCCGAGGCUCAACCUCGGGCCUGCAGUGGGUACGGGCAGACUAGAGUGCGGUAGGGGAGAAUGGAAUUCCUGGUGUAGCGGUGGAAUGCGCAUAUAUCAGGAGGAACACCGAUGGCGAAG
rnacentral:rRNA from 1 species